AUGUUCCAGUUUAGGUUUUCGAUAGUGCUGAAGGAGUUGUUUGAAGCCACCCUCAAGCGUCCCUUCCCCGGCUCGAGACAGAAGACCUGGUCCCCGACCCGCCGCCGCUGCUGCUUCGGCACCGCCUCCGUUGACGCCAGAACCGUCUCCCCUCAGCUGAAGGUCCUCCAUGCCGCGUCGUACCGCGCCGCGCCCUGCGCCGCCCCGUUCCGCUCGUACUGCACAAAAACCGAAGGGGCCGUGGAGCUGGACGAGCAGCUGAAGAAGGAUGUUGUCAGCCCGGAUGAAGCCAGUGAAAAGAGAAGAACUGCAGGCAUUCUCCCCAGUUUGGAGGACUUGCUCUUCUACACAGUCGCAGAAGGCCAAGAGAAGAUUCCUGCUCAUAAGUUUCUCACAGCGCUUAAAGCCACCGGGCUUCGCACUGGAGACCCCAGACUGAAGGAAUGCAUGGACACCCUUAAAGAAACUCUAAGGAACACCAAAGAUGGCGUCACGCUGGACAGGCACCUAUUCAAGAAGUGUGUCCAGAGCAACAUUGUCCUGCUCACUCAGGCCUUCCGCAAGAAGUUCGUCAUCCCCGACUUCCAGUCCUUCACCUCCCAUAUUGAUGAGCUGUAUGAGAGUGCCAAAAAGCUCUCUGGAGGACAGGUUGCAGACUACAUUCCUCAGCUCGCCAAAUUCAGCCCUGACCUGUGGGCCGUGUCUCUGUGCACUGUGGACGGACAGAGGCACACAGUAGGAGACACCAAGGUCCCCUUCUGUCUGCAGUCCUGCGUCAAGCCUCUGAAGUACGCUGUGGCUGUCCAUGACCACAGCACGGAGUAUGUGCACAGCUUCAUUGGGAUGGAGCCCAGCGGCCUUCGCUUCAAUAAGCUCUUCCUGAGUGACGAUGAUAAGCCCCACAACCCCAUGGUGAAUGCUGGCGCUAUAGUUUGCACUUCACUGAUAAAGCAAGGGGCAAGCAACGCAGAAAGAUUUGAUUAUGUCAUGAACUUUCUGAAAAAAAUGGCUGGAAACGAGUACGUGGGUUUCAGCAACGCCACAUUCCAGUCGGAGCGUGAGUCAGGUGACAGGAACUUUGCUAUCGGCUACUACCUGAAAGAAAAGAAGUGUUUUCCAGAGGGGACAGACAUGACAUCUGUACUGGACUUCUACUUUCAACUGUGUUCGAUCGAGGUGACCUGCGAGAGCGCCAGCGUCAUGGCGGCCACCCUGGCUAACGGCGGCAUCUGUCCAAUCACGGGUGAGCGUGUGCUGAACCCCGAGGCGGUGAGGAACACCCUGAGUCUGAUGCACUCCUGCGGCAUGUACGACUUCUCAGGACAGUUCGCUUUCCACGUCGGUCUGCCCGCCAAGUCUGGAGUAGCGGGGGGGAUCCUGCUGGUCGUACCCAACGUGAUGGGCAUCAUGUGCUGGUCCCCUCCGCUGGACAAGCUGGGCAACUCGGUCAGAGGAAUACAGUUCUGCACGGACCUCGUGGAGCGUUUCAACUUCCACAACUACGACAACCUGAGGCACUUCGCCAAGAAGCACGACCCCCGCAGAGAAGGAGGGGACCAGCGGGUCAAGUCUGUCAUCAACCUGCUGUUUGCUGCCUACACAGGAGACGUGUCUGCGCUGAGGAGGUUUGCGCUGUCCUCCAUGGACAUGGAGCAGAGGGACUACGACUCCAGGACGGCCCUCCAUGUGGCAGCAGCUGAAGGACACACAGAGGUGGUGCGCUUCCUGCUGGAGGCCUGCAAGGUGAACCCAGUACCCAGAGACAGAUGGGGGAACACGCCGAUAGAGGAAGCGGUGCACUUCGGCCACCACGACGUGGUCACCGUGCUGCAGCAACACGCCGAGAAACAGAGCCGGGCGGCCGGGGCCGACGACAAGGAGAGUGCUGAGAAGAGCGUGGACAGCCUGCUGUAGACCUGCUGCACACAGACUACAUGCUUUAGGUGGACCAGUGUGCUCGAACAACUCUAAACAGUAGUGACCAAACCUUUGGAUAUGUGGGGUGAUUUAGUUAUUACGCUGCGUCCCGUCUGGUAUGCUUUGCUUUGUGGCUGCACGUCACUCUUCUACUUCAUAUCUCCCGCCUUGUCAAUGCUGUUUAAACAAAUGAUACAAUAUCUGGACAUCUAUGAUGCAAUACUUACAGUAUAUUACUCAUGUCACGUGUCUGUCAGAGGUGGGGGGGGGGGGGGCUCUAGUGGCCCGACAAACUCGAGGACCAGAGACUUGCUUGACUCGCACUGAUAAACGACUCGACUUGAGAUGGCUGACUCGAAAGGA